rnacentral:tRNA from 1 species
CGGGAUGUAGCUCAGCCCGGUUAGAGUACUUGUCUGGGGGGCAAGGGGCCCCGGGUUCAAAUCCCGGCAUCCCGA